CAGUAGCCGCGGGAAUACGUAGGGUGCGAGCGUUGUCCGGAAUUACUGGGCGUAAAGAGUUCGUAGGCGGUUUGUCGCGUCGUUUGUGAAAACCCGGGGCUCAACUUCGGGCUUGCAGGCGAUACGGGCAGACUUGAGUGUUUCAGGGGAGACUGGAAUUCCUGGUGUAGCGGUGAAAUGCGCAGAUAUCAGGAGGAACACCGGUGGCGAAGGCGGGUCUCUGGGAAACAACUGACGCUGAGGAACGAAAGCGUGGGUAGCAAACAGGAUUAGAUACCCGUGUAGUCCCUGUCUCUUAUAC
rnacentral:rRNA from 1 species